UAUAAACCCUAGUCUGCGCUAGCUAGAGGAGCCCAGACUGAGACAGAGGGUGGGCUCUAGAAGGCUCCAAGCAAACCUGCAGCAACUCUAAAAGAGAGAGCCACUGGCAGUGGGGACUCAGAAUUGUGGAGCCCAUGGAUGUGUCAGGGGCUGGUACUGUUUUAAGAGUGAGAAGUGCCUCUAAGGAAUUGUGCUGCUUACAAGCUUGCUGCCUCCCCACUCUCAACACCAAUAGACUGAAGAAGCCAGGGUCAGGCAGUCCCAGAGCACUGAAAGACUACUGUUGACUGGGCUACCACCUACUGCUUUGUAGGAGGAAGUUCUGGCAGCUACUACCCCACCAGCAGAUCCCAACACCUCAGCUUGCCCAUCCAACCUGACUGCCCCACCAGAUGGAAGAUUUUGGCAAGACCACUUAUGGCACCUCUGAUGCACAGUACAUCAUGCCUGCUCUGCAUAGGAUAUUUCCUGAACUGAAAGAAGUGUAUUCACACACACACAGAGCCCUGUGUGCAUGCCACACGGGCUGUGGCAUCGAGCGACUACACUACAUCCAGCUUGGAAGGUGGGACAGGAUGAUUCAGGCUGCAUCUUAGAGACCUCAGAAGCACUUUGAGGACUUCUCUAAAAUUAGGGACUUGGAGCUGCAGGAGUUACAGCCAACAAAGUUAAAAAAAAAACGGAGGUAAUAAGGAUGCCAGAUGUUGCCAUUUUAACAAUCCAUUCGCAUCUGCAGAAUGUCCUGCUUAUGUCAGCAGCAUGCAAAAACAAUGCAACUUACUUGGCAUGCAGCCGUUGCUUUUAGGAAAAUCCA